rnacentral:rRNA from 1 species
AUUGAACGCUGGCGGCAGGCCUAACACAUGCAAGUCGAACGAGUGGCGGACGGGUGAGUAAUGUCUGGGAAACUGCCUGAUGGAGGGGGCUAACUACUGGCAACGGUAGCUAAUACCGCAUACCAUCAGAUGUGCCCAGAUGGGAUUAGCUGGUUGGGGGGGUAACGGCUCACCAAGGCGACGAUCCCUAGCUGGUCUGAGAGGAUGAACAGCCACACUGGAACUGAGACAGGGUCCAGAUUCCUAAGGGAGGCAGCAGUGGGGAAUAUUGCACAAUGGGCGAAAGCCUGAUGCAGCCAUGCCGCGUGUAUGAAGAAGGCCUUCGGGUGGUAAAGUACUUUCAUCAGGGAGGCGUUACCCGCAGAAGAAGCACCGGCUAACUCCGUGCCAGCAGCCGCGGUAAUAC